GGCCAUCUCGCCUGGGCCCGGUAUAUGGGCCUUUCGUCCGAAUUAUUUGGCCCAGUUUGAAUUUAUUUGCCCGGCCCAGCUUCUAGGGCCUUCAUGUUACGCUUCUGCUCAUAUAAAAGCACGAACGCAAAUGUCCCAACCCUAGAAUCGCUGUUUUUCCUCUCGCUCCUCCUGUGGGCGGCGCCGCCGCUGCGCACAGAACACAUCCUCGCCAGCGUAGCUUCUCCGGCGUCCGGCCAACGCGCUCACUAGCCUCCCGCCUUCCUCCACAUCUCCUCGCCUCCACCCCAUCCAGUUCGUGCCAUUCGCUGCUCCAAGACAAGGGCAUGGCGCUCGGCGGCUGCGGCAACGAAGCUGAUGGUGCACGAGCCAACCAUGAAGGCAGUAGCACGGGGCAGCGACAGCAGCAUGGAGGGCGUCCUCUUGUUUGGGAAGGUAAUGGAACUGCAAAUAGGAGUGGCAGCGGCGACCAGGAUGCAAAUGGAAGUGGUUCCCAAAGACCUUGGAAAGGACUUAAAGACAAUAACUUAUAUGAUCCUUGGAACCAUGCAUGGCCGUAUUAUGGGGGUUUUGAUUGCACGUACUGCAGCCUAAAGCACAAAGGUGGAGGUGCAACCCGUGUCGCGGAGCACCUUGGUGGUAUUGUAGGUAAUGUGAGGAGCUGCCCCAAUGUGCCAAGAAAUGUGAGAGAUGCAAUGAGAGAGUGCCGGGAUGAAUCAAGGAGGAAGAAAAGAGACAAACAAAAUAGCAGGCUGAGAAUUGAAAGAAAUAUUAUGGAAGGGUUGUAUAAAAAAGGAGGGGUGGUUAACGUACCAGAUGAUGAUGAAGAAGAAAUUCAGAUGAAUAUUAGAGAAGCAUUGCGUGACCCGAAUGUCUCUCGCAGAAUUGAAAGGAGAAUUGGCAAGGGGGGUGUGGGUGAUGUGCAUGUUUCUGUUGGUAAAAGGAGUAUCAGCGCCUAUUUUGACAGGCAAUUAUCUAGCAACAAAGUAUCUAUGCAGCCCAAGAUCAGUAGUGCUUUGGAUCCUAAUUCAAGAGAUGCACUUGGUCUAGCUUGGUCCAAGUUUUUUCAUGCCAAUGAUAUUGCUGGACGUAAAGCUGAUUGCCCAUACUUUCGAGCUGCUGUGAAGAUCACUCAACAAUUAGGGCCUAUUCCUAUGCAAUGGAAGAAGAUACAUUUAUGGUUGCAGCUGCUGUCCUUGACCCAUAUACACAUUACAAGCUGAACCUUUGCAACCACACAGAUUAUGCCACUUCACUAACAGAUGCGAUAGCGAAGAUAUUAGACCCAGUGAGUGCUCUUUCAGCCAUUGAUGAAGUGAGCAAGUUCAGGGAGUGCCAAGGGAGGUUUGGGACCAGAUUGGCAGAAGAAGCUGCGGCGAGAAUGGGGCCAACCCAAUGGUGGUUUCAGUUUGGAGGGGAUGUUCCUGCAUUGCAGAAAUGUGCAAUGAGAAUUUGCUCACAAUGUGUCUCCUCUAGUGGGUGUGAGAGAAAUUGGAGUGCUUUUGCUUUGGUGCACACAAAGCAAAGAAGUCGUCUUCUAUAUGACAAGCUCCACAAGCUAGUUUUUGUACGCUACAACUUAAAGAUACGUGCUGAAGAAGAUCAAGAGAAAGAGAGAGAUAUAGAUAAAGAAAUUGAUCCAAGUGCAUUGCUAAUGGAUACCACAAUGUUUGAUGAAACAAACCCAAUAAUGGAGUGGCUGAAUGAGGAUGUAGAGGAUCCGAUUGUGGAUGGAGCUGAUGCAGCUAGUGCUGUUUUUGAGCAAAGAAGGCGCCUCAACUCAAGCAUGAAGGCGUCUUAUGUUGGUUCAAAGGGUAAUAACAAGAAAAGAAAGAGGAAUGAUGAUGAUGAGAAUGAGUUUCUUGAAACUGAGAGUGAGGAUGAUGAAGAAGAGAAUGAAUAUGUUGAUAAUGACAUCGAGGAUGAUGAUGGGGUGAGUGAGGAUGAUGAGGAUGGUGAACAAGAUCAGCUAGAGACACAAAUGCAACUUGAAGAAGAGACACAAGUACAAGUUCAAAAGGAGGCACCAACAAGCACUGGCCAUUUGGAGACUAGAUCUGGACGACUUAUUAGGAAGAAGACCAAGAACGUCAACAGCCUCUACUCGUAAAUUUGAAAUGGCACGUGAGCAAAGGAUAUCAAGAAGCUUUUGGAUGUUGGGAAGCUUGGAGCUGAUGCUUCAAAUAAGCUGAUGGUUGUCUUUUGGAGAUGUUUCUAUGUUUAAUGCUUUAAAGUCUUUUGGCUGUACUGGACUAUUUAAACUUUGAACUAUGCUGUGAUGGUUGAACUGAUGCUGGACGGUUAAGGGUUUAUGUCAGAGGCAACUUUAUAACUAAUGUGUGCCUGUUAUGUUGGACUGUUAAGGGUUAUGUUGGAGGCAAUUUUAUAACUAAUGUGUGUCUGCUAUGUUGGAUUGUUAACUGUUAUGUUGGAGGCAACAUUAUAGCUAACGUGUGCCUGUUAUGUUGGGCAGAUUCAAUUUUCUUAAUCCCUAGAGCUUAUUUGCUAAAGUUUAUAAGAUCUCUCCUGAUGGUUGU
rnacentral:rRNA from 1 species